GGUUCCUGCCAGUCUUCAUCUCAUUGCACCCCGACAGCCAGCCGGCGGCGGGGUUGCAGGAGCGUCGUUUUAGGGAUGAGCUGCUCAGGUCGGGCAGCCACAGCGGAGCCAAGUCUGGGUCUGAACGCUGGUCUUUCCAAAAGCCGGAGAACCCCGGCGCCACCAGUUUCUUCGAAAUCUGAGAAACUCUCUUGGAAACUGCAGCACAUUCCAAGAUAUGACAGGGCCUGCCAGGUGCCAGCAUUAUUAUUCUAACUGCGGGGGACAGAGAAAUAAACAAGCAGAGCUGGGCACGGGGUGCCCGCAGCCAUCCCAGCGACUGGGGAGACCCAGUUUAAAUGCCACAGCUGGAUGCUUUGUGCCAACCCGGCCUCCCUGCUCACUCGCCCCACAAACCACAGUUCACCGGCUGCUCUGGUGCUGAGCAGUGCCGCCACCCGCCACCCGGAUUCCAGGAUUGGCCUGGGAUUCUGGCCUCCCAGAAGUCCCUUCCUAGCAUUUCCUCUGAGGCAAUAAACAACCCCAC